AGCACUCACCGUAAUUUACGUCAGAAAGAGAUAAAUUUUCCAUUUAGACAUCUAAUUCGGGGUUAGGGUCACACUAAAUCCAUCCAAGAGUUUUCUAAAGCCUACAUCGUCCCGCUUUCGUCCAAAAAUUCAUUCAUAUUUGAGAAAAAUGUCAAUUUUGCCCGAUUGCCGAGUUUUCGACUAUUCUGCCAACUUUUCGACACACGAUUCCACAGUCCCUCGCAUUUCCGACGUGUGCUGUCAACGCCUAACCCGCGAACGGGCAUAUUCUCCCGUACUAAAAUAUAACGAGGGACUGUGGAAGAGUCAGA